rnacentral:rRNA from 1 species
AGGGAAAAGCUCAAAUUUAAAAUCUGGCAGUCUUUGAUUGUCCGAGUUGUAAUUUAGAGAAGUGCUACCCGCGCUGGACCGUGUAUAAGUCUUCUGGAAUGGAGCAUCAUUGAGGGUGAGAAUCCCGUCUUUGACACGGACUACCAGGGCUUUGUGGUGUGCUCUCGA